rnacentral:rRNA from 1 species
AGCGAACGCUGGCGGCAGGCCUAACACAUGCAAGUCGAACGGAUCCUUCGGGAUUAGUGGCGGACGGGUGAGUAACACGUGGGAACGUGCCCUUUGGUUCGGAACAACUCAGGGAAACUUGAGCUAAUACCGGAUGUGCCCUUCGGGGGAAAGAUUUAUCGCCAUUGGAGCGGCCCGCGUCUGAUUAGCUAGUUGGUGAGGUAACGGCCCACCAAGGCGACGAUCAGUAGCUGGUCUGAGAGGAUGAUCAGCCACACUGGGACUGAGACACGGCUCAGACUCCUACGGGAGGCAGCAGUGGGGAAUCUUGCGCAAUGGGCGAAAGCCUGACGCAGCCAUGCCGCGUGAAUGAUGAAGGUCUUAGGAUUGUAAAAUUCUUUCAGCGGGGACGAUAAUGACGGUACCCGCAGAAGAAGCUCCGGCUAACUUCGUG